rnacentral:lncRNA from 1 species
CUGAUGUACGGUUCGCAGGUUUGUGUAUAUUUUAGAAUAUGCACAAUCAUUAAAACCAGAAUUUAUCAGCUGACACCGCAGCCUUCUUCACAGGUGAAAGGCCGUAUCAUUGCAAGGACUGUGAUAAACAGUUCACUCAACUAAGUGCCCUGCAGAGACAUCAGAGAAUCCACACGGGAGAGAAGCCGUACAUGUGCAGCAUGUGUGGAAGAACAUUUACUGACAAAUCCACCGUACGCCGACACACCCUGACUCAUGACAAACAAACUCCAUGGAAGAACUACCUGGUUGUUCUGAAGGGAAACGUUGAAGACAGAGCCAAGAAACCGAAAGGCUCUUCUCAGAAGAAGGACAAGGCGUCUGUCGCUGUUUCUGAAGUGCAGGCUCCUGAGAACAACGCACAGAAGACCCAAGAAGUGGUGGCUGUGUCCGGAGAGCCCGUGACCAUUUCCGGAGACUGGGCCGGACCUGGAACCAUCGCACUUGUCAGCCACACGGCCCUGGGCGGCCUCACGGUCAUCCAGACCGAAGUUCCCGCAGGCACGCAUCUGCAGCCCUUAGUCACCACGGACGGCACCAGCGUGAUCUCUCUGGAUGCUUCUGCGGUCGGGAUGCCUGUGACCGUUCCCUUUUCCAUCCCCAUUUCGGUCGCGCAUUCCAUCGGCCUGUCCCCUUCGAUCUACGGUCCUGUGCCCAUCACUGUUGCCGGUCACGUUUCAGAUGUCAUACUGGCUCCGGCAACCACUGAAGCAACCGAGAACGGUCUGGCUUCGGCUGAGUGUGUGUCUGUCCAGGCUGUUACGGUGGGAGAAACGGACUGUGCAGACACCCAACAGGAAGUCAGCGAAAGCAUACAGACUGCAGAGGCUUCAAACAACAUAGAAAUCUCAGUAGGAGAGUAGAUUCUACCGGCUUCAGUUGCAAAUACUCGUUAAUCAUGAUGGCAAUCAAGCUUUGCUUUAAAUUAUCAGCUGUAAAUGCACUUUUGCUUUAUAAAACCUGUGUGUAUAAUGUGUGUGUAACUAGUACAAUUCUUGAAUCACAAUGUUCAAUUCUGCUCAGGUUUGUUUUUGACAACAUAUACCAUUUCCAUUUCCAGGGAACGUCUUGUCAUUAAAUAGUUUUUUUAGUGAUUCUUGUAAAAACAAAAAUUUGCUUUUCAUUGUCAGUAAUGCUGUUUGCUGAUAUUUAUUAUGUUCAACACUACAUCAAUGUGAACUGCAUAUUAACACAAUACUUCAUUUUUAGUACCCUAUUACGUGUAUAAUGAUUUGCAGUCAUGACAGCGCUCCUUAAAAUCAUUCAAUAAAGUGUUUAUUGAAUUCAGCUUCCUUUUUUCUUUUAAAUGUCUAAUUUCUUUUUUUUUUUUUUUACAUUUUUGAUUUAGUUUUGGAUUGAAAUAUAGAAAAUAUA